UACGUAGGGCGCAAGCGUUAUCCGGAAUUAUUGGGCGUAAAGAGCUCGUAGGCGGUUUGUCGCGUCUGCCGUGAAAGUCCGGGGCUCAACUCCGGAUCUGCGGUGGGUACGGGCAGACUAGAGUGAUGUAGGGGAGACUGGAAUUCCCGGUGUAGUGGUGAAAUGCGUAGAUAUCGGGAGGAACACCAGUGGCGAAGGCGACUUCCUGGCCUGUUCUUGACGCUGAGGCGCGAAAGCUAGGGGAGCAAACGGG
rnacentral:rRNA from 1 species